rnacentral:rRNA from 1 species
UACGUAGGGCGCAAGCGUUGUCCGGAAUUAUUGGGCGUAAAGAGCUCGUAGGCGGCUUGUCACGUCGGGUGUGAAAGACCGGGGCUUAACCCCGGUUCUGCAUUCGAUACGGGCUGGCUAGAGUGUGGUAGGGGAGAUCGGAAUUCCUGGUGUAGCGGUGAAAUGCGCAGAUAUCAGGAGGAACACCGGUGGCGAAGGCGGAUCUCUGGGCCAUUACUGACGCUGAGGAGCGAAAGCGUGGGGAGCGAACAGG